rnacentral:rRNA from 1 species
UACAGAGGUCUCAACCGUUGUUCGGAUUCAUUGGGCGUAAAGGGUGCGUAGGCGGUCGUGCAAGUCGGAUGUGAAAUCUCAGGGCUCAACCCUGAAACUGCAUUCGAUACGGGCUGGCUAGAGUACUGCAGGGGAGACUGGAAUUCCUGGUGUAGCGGUGAAAUGCGCAGAUAUCAGGAGGAACACCGGUGGCGAAGGCGGGUCUCUGGGCAGUAACUGACGCUGAGGAGCGAAAGCGUGGGGAGCGAACAGG